rnacentral:lncRNA from 1 species
GAGUCCUUAGUCAGCUAUAACAGGAAUACAAUAACUGAACAAACAAGAAGCAACCAAAUAGAGGUGAACUAAAGUGUGACAGGGCCACGACUUCUGCGAGCUCAAAUUGCCAGCCUUCCCAAUUUAUUGACAUGCUUUCAAACCUUCUCUUUAAUAUAUACACUCCAUUUCAGGCUGCUACAGCUCUUCAGGACUCAACAAGAAACCAGAAAAAACACCUUAAACUUACCUAUUUCAUGUGUAAUCCUAAGGAAAAAAUAAAAUACUCAAGGGAGUUGCUUAUGAAUGCAGCAGGUGUACAAUUCUUAAGACGAGAAGAUCAAAGAGCACUUCAACGCGAAAUAAAUUGGGACGAGCAUCAAACAGAAACUAGCAAAGACAAACCAAUUGAGGCAUUCAAUAAACCAUAGGCGAAUUGAUCAGUUCCUGCAAACUAAUGUAUAAUCUGAACGCCUCAUCUUUCCCAAUGCUCAUGCUCAAACAUUUCAACCAAUGAGCAAAUCACCAAGUGACAGAAGCAGAAUUACCCAGCUUAGAAAUAAUUUCACCAUGAGUUUGUACAUUAUUUUGGAGUCACAGUGUCAUGGCUAUUGGUAUAACAUGAUUUUAACAGAUUAUUUGCUAUUUGCAAAAGCAAAACUAUUCAGCUAGAGUUUUUUUUUUAAAAAAAAUCUCUGGACAUAUCAAGUUAGUCAUGGAUAUUCCAGAACUUCUCAUCUUAACACAGGCACACCUUAUCUAUUGCUCUUUGCUAACUGAAAACUAAUGAAGAUCCAGUGGUAUAAAGGUACAACUGAAGCUACCAAGCCAGGGCAUCAAAUUCCAAGUCUUAGAGACCAUUUCGGGAUCCUAAUUCACAAAACGUAACCUACAGGCAACGAGAAUCAGAGAGAUCUAACAUGGAUCAUGUUCGGACAGUGGUGUUGAGCUUUAAACCGAAGAGCACAAGACAUAGAUAGAGCUAAUAUCAUUUCAAAUCAUGAAGACCUCACUUAAUCUAACAAUAUAUCAUCACACAAUUGCGCUGGAUAAAACAAUCAAGCGUCAUAGAGUGAAAAAUAGAAACAUACAAGUUUUUCACAUAGCAAAGUCACUCCGGAUUUUUGAAUUUUACGCUAGUGACAAAGAAUCAUCAGAAUGCCAACUCUAAUAUAAAAGAUAUGAGAACGAGAUGAACCUGUUAAAAUUUCCAGUUGAUCUUUCAGCAAAUUACAACAAUCAAAAUAAAAUGAAUCGGAUGAAUCCACAACAAAGAACUCAACCAAGACCUCAAACCAGAAACGGAAAACAUCAGCUUUCGAACUCGAACAACAACUUCAACAGCGACGAGCUCGUUUAAAUCAACUGCUUUAAACAAGAACCAGAGAAGAAAAACGGAAUCCCUUUUUUGAAAUUUUCUAAUUUCUGAAGCAAACUAUGAACAAACGAAAAACUCAAAAAAAAUUGCAUUUUUUAAUAGAGAAGAAAACGGAAUAACAAAUCCAAAAAAAAAACCUCAGUCUUUAUCUCUGUUAUCAUUUAAGAAAUCGAAGAGCGAUAAAGAAGAUCUAUCUCUCAAAUCCUUUACCAAGUAUGAAACCUCUGAAUAGUCCCCAAGACAUUCUCUCCAAAACCAAAAAAAAUCCCCCCACCCUUACCCGAAAAGGGUCCCUUAUAUAUCCAAACUCUGGAUUCUUUCUUCCUCUUAAAGAAAGCGGAUAAGGCUCUCUUGAAAAUGAGCACGUGGUGAAUGUGAGGCUCAGAUUGAAUGAGAUUGAUCCGACGCCUCUCACUCAUCCAACACCCUUCUUCUAGAGCCUUCUAAUCCACGUGAGAUAGCUUGAAAACGGGCGAGUGAGGGAGAGAAUCUUGUUGUUGUCAGAGCCCGUUACUCCUAUGUGGCAAGAGGAGGGAGGGGGAAGGCGCGUGGGGUGAGUUAGGGUGAAUUUGUGCGAUUUUGGUGAAGGGGAAGAUGAGCAGUAACCUGU